rnacentral:lncRNA from 1 species
AAACAGUUGUACUUUGGGAGACAACAAAUAAAUGUUUUCUCCUGUUUAUUUCUUUCCACAGUCUUCUGUCUUCCUUCAUGCACAUACAGAUGAAUUCUCUGUAGUUUCUCCAGAGGUGAUAACGACAAGGCUCCUUCCCUCUGGAAACACAUGCAACUUUGCUGGCAUAAUAGAAACACCGAAAGGGAGAACCAGCAGCAGAUGCAGGAGGAUGUAUCUCACUCUGUUUUACCUGAUGCAAAAUUAAGUUCAUAUUCCUCUUCCUUCUCCUAAUGAAUUUUCCUGCUCAAGCUGUGCCACUGGAUGCUCAGGAAAAUGCAAAAAGAGUGUGUCAGGAGCCUGAAGAGAAGCAAAGACGAGUUACAAAAUAUGAAAAGAAUCAUUCCCCUAUUUAAAGGACAGAAAAAAUAAAUAAAUAAAUAUGCCGUAGGAUAGAUGUAGU